AGAGUUUGAUCAUGGCUCAGGAUGAACGCUGGCGGCGUGCCUAACACAUGCAAGUCGAGCGCGAUUAGUUGGAACGGAGACUUCGGUCAAAGGGAAGGCUAUGAAAGCGGCGGACGGGUGAGUAACGCGUGAGCAACCUGCCCUGUACAGGGGGAUAGCCACUGGAAACGGUGAUUAAUACCCCAUAACCCCAAAGGAUCGCAUGGUCCAAUGGGCAAAGCCUUGGCGGUACAGGAUGGGCUCGCGUCUGAUUAGCUAGUUGGUGAGGUAAUGGCUCACCAAGGCGACGAUCAGUAGCCGACCUGAGAGGGUGAACGGCCACACUGGAACUGAGACACGGUCCAGACUCCUACGGGAGGCAGCAGUGGGGAAUAUUGCACAAUGGGCGCAAGCCUGAUGCAGCAACGCCGCGUGAGUGAAGAAGGCCUUCGGGUCGUAAAACUCUGUCCUAAGGGAAGAAGAAGUGACGGUACCUUAGGAGGAAGCCCCGGCUAACUACGUGCCAGCAGCCGCGGUAAUACGUAGGGGGCAAGCGUUAUCCGGAAUCACUGGGCGUAAAGGGUGCGUAGGCGGCUGAUCAAGCCAGGGGUGAAAGGCUGUGGCUUAACCAUGGUAAGCCUUUGGAACUGGUCAGCUUGAGUGCAGGAGAGGAAAGCGGAAUUCCUAGUGUAGCGGUGAAAUGCGUAGAUAUUAGGAGGAACACCCGUGGCGAAGGCGGCUUUCUGGACUGUAACUGACGCUGAGGCACGAAAGCGUGGGGAGCAAACAGGAUUAGAUACCCUGGUAGUCCACGCUGUAAACGAUGAAUACUAGGUGUCGGGGGUCAAAGCCCGGUGCCGCAGCUAACGCAUUAAGUAUUCCGCCUGGGGAGUACGGUCGCAAGACUGAAACUCAAAUGAAUUGACGG
rnacentral:rRNA from 1 species